rnacentral:tRNA from 1 species
GGAGAGAUGGCCGAGUGGUUUAAGGCAACGGUCUUGAAAACCGUCGAGGGCGCAAGUUCUCCGUGGGUUCGAAUCCCACUCUCUCCG